rnacentral:rRNA from 1 species
CCUACGGGUGGCAGCAGUGGGGAAUAUUGGACAAUGGGGGGAACCCUGAUCCAGCCAUGCCGCGUGUGUGAAGAAGGCCCUCGGGUUGUAAAGCACUUUCAGUGAGGAAGAACGCCUGGUGGUUAAUACCCAUCAGGAAAGACAUCACUCACAGAAGAAGCACCGGCUAACUCCGUGCCAGCAGCCGCGGUAAUACGGAGGGUGCGAGCGUUAUUCGGAAUUACUGGGCGUAAAGCGCGCGUAGGUGGCUUGAUAAGCCGGUUGUGAAAGCCCCGGGCUCAACCUGGGAACGGCAUCCGGAACUGUCAAGCUAGAGUGCAGGAGAGGAAGGUAGAAUUCCCGGUGUAGCGGUGAAAUGCGUAGAGAUCGGGAGGAAUACCAGUGGCGAAGGCGGCCUUCUGGACUGACACUGACACUGAGGUGCGAAAGCGUGGGUAGCAAACAGGAUUAGAUACCCCUGUAGUC